rnacentral:rRNA from 1 species
UACCAGCACCUCGAGUGGUCAGGACGUUUAUUGGGCCUAAAGCAUCCGUAGCCGGCUUUGCAAGUCUUCGGUUAAAUCCACCUGCUCAACAGAUGGGCCGCUGGAGAUACUACAAAGCUAGGGAGUGGGAGAGGCAGACGGUAUUCAGUGGGUAGGGGUAAAAUCCUCUGAUCCAUUGAGGACCCCCAGUGGCGAGGGCGGUCUGCCGGAACCCGUUCGACGGUGAGGGAUGAAAGCUGGGGAGCAAACCGG